CACAAGAGUCAGGAUUUCUCCAGGGAAUCUUGAAAGUAUCUGCACUGCCAAAUUCCAAAGAGGCUCUAUCGUGAUUAUCUUACACUGACAAUACCAAAGACACUGGCAAUACGAAAGACACUGACUGCAAUCUUGCAGGUAUGCAUGGAAUUCUAUCUCUAUCCCUCCAAGAACUUUGUUUAAAUAAUUUUGCUUAAGAGGAAUGAAAUGUCCUUUUCUGUCAAGGUAGGA
rnacentral:lncRNA from 1 species